rnacentral:rRNA from 1 species
UAUUUUGACUAUACAAAGGUAUUGUAAUAAGACUUUAAUUGAGUGCUAAAAGAAUGGAAUUUCAAAAAAAAUCUUUUUUAAAAUUAAAAAUUGAAGUUAUUUUUAUAAGUGAAGAAACAAUAAUAAAAAUUUAGGACAAGAAGACCCUAUGAAUUUUUAUAUUAUGUAUGUAAUAUAUAUUAUAUAUAUAUAAUAUUUGAUUGGGGCGAUUAAAAAAAAUUAAAAACUUUUUGAAUAAAAAUUUGAUCCAUUAAUAAUGAUUUAAUGUUAAAAUACUCUAGGGAUAACAGCGUAAUAAUUUUGGAUAGAUCUUAUAGAUAAAAUAGUUUGCGACCUCGAUGUUGGAUUAGGAUACUUAUUUAAUGAAGAAGUUAAGUAAAGAAGUUUGUUCAACUUUUAAAUUCC